ACAAAUAUUUUCCCUUUUCAUAUGUCUUGUUUUUCCUCUCAUUGUGAUACUAUGUAACAGACAAUAUAGAUUGAGGUUUGAGUUUAUAUCGUUUAAGCAUUAAUGUAUUGUUUGAUUUUUAGAGGCGUGGGGUCAGUCUUCCAAAUAAUACUCUAUUUGAUUUUCUGUGUUCAGUUAUAUUUUAGUACAGUAAUUAUCUAGUAAUUACAUGCUGAACUUGGAUAUUCAGUCCUUUACCAGUAAUUUACAAUGUUAUUCCGCGGCUUCAAUCCCGAGAAAUACAGUAAUGUAAUAUCAAGUUAACCCAUCGUCACACACACACACACACACACAUACACUGAUGAAGACCUGCCACUUGUUUUUCCUCCCAGAGAAGUGUCCAGUUUAAUCUUUCACCAGAAAAGUCUGCGACUGAACCAUUGUACCAAAUAUUUCACAAAGCAUCGAACUCGCACCCUCAACCGUCAUGUCGCGGCUCUGUACAGUCUGCAGUUCAUGCCAGUGCACACGGGAGGAAGGAUGCGUGGCCACUACCGUGGUAACAGAGAUCACGUCCAUAACUAGUGGCCAUUGGACGCUGCCUUGGUGGAGGACGUGACUGGAGUACAGCUUUGUUUGGCUGCACCAAGUACUGUACAGCCGCACAUUCCUUAAUCCUGCUCGGCUCAUCCUGGGGUGUUUAUCUAUAAAGACUGGUGUGCCUCACUGUUUAUGUAGGAGGUUUAUAAUUAUAAAUCCACCAUUGGUGGAUUUAUAAUUAUAUAUUGAAUGUAUAUUGCUUCCUGACCCUAGAUGUAUGUUACCAGUAUACCAAUGUGAAAUAAAUAAAGGUUGACAAAGGUG